CAAUAGCUCAGUCGGUCAGAGCAGGGAACUCAUAAUUCCUUGGUCGCGGGUUCAAGUCCUGCUUGGGG
rnacentral:tRNA from 1 species